rnacentral:rRNA from 1 species
AUUGAACGCUGGGGGCAGGCCUAACACAUGCAAGUCGAGCGGAUGAGGGUAGCUUGCUACCUGAUUCAGCGGCGGACGGGUGAGUAAUGCCUAGGAAUCUGCCUGGUAGUGGGGGACAACGUUUCGAAAGGAACGCUAAUACCGCAUACGUCCUACGGGAGAAAGUGGGGGAUCUUCGGACCUCACGCUAUCAGAUGAGCCUAGGUCGGAUUAGCUAGUUGGUGGGGUAAAGGCUCACCAAGGCGACGAUCCGUAACUGGUCUGAGGGGAUGAUCAGUCACACUGGAACUGAGACACGGUCCAGACUCCUACGGGAGGCAGCAGUGGGGAAUAUUGGACAAUGGGCGCAAGCCUGAUCCAGCCAUGCCGCGUGUGUGAAGAAGGUCUUCGGAUUGUAAAGCACUUUAAGUUGGGAGGAAGGGCAGUAAGUUAAUACCUUGCUGUUUUGACGUUACCGACAGAAUAAGCACCGGCUAACUCUGUGCCAGCAGCCGAC